UACGAAGGGGGCUAGCGUUGCUCGGAAUCGACUGGGCGUAAAGGGUGCGUAGGCGGGUCUUAAGUCAGGGGUGAAAUCCUGGAGCUCAACUCCAGAACUGCCUUUGAUACUGAAGAUCUUGAGUUCGGGGAGGAGGUGGAGUGGAACUGCGAGUGUAGAGGGUGAAAUUCGUAGAUAUUCGCAAGAACACCAGUGGCGAAGGCGGACUCACUGGCCCGAGUACUGACGC
rnacentral:rRNA from 1 species